ensembl:sense_intronic Hm629797 cDNA sequence HM629797
UGACUUGCUCUUCAUUAGAUUAUUUCUAUUUACAUAAUCCUCUGCUAUUCCUAAAUAAAAAUAUUUUAUAGUAUAUAGCUAAUGAAAACAAGGCAAGAGAUUAUAAAAGAGUUGAAAUGUAUUGUUAUAUAGAAAGUCAUUCUGGGGAAACAUCUAUUGUCUCAGACCUCCCGCUGCAAAUGUGGUUUUGUUUUCCUCCUCUUUUGAAACACCUGUAGAAGCCAUUGAGCUACUCAUCUCUAUAACAAACAUGCAAGUAUUUUUCUCCUUAAAUGAAGAAAAUGCAAAAUCAUGCAUUAGGCUCAGUGCCUGUAUCACAUUAUAGCGUGUUAGUCUUAGUCCUUGUUUAGUGCCUUUCAUUUUAUAAGGCAGGACGUUGACAUUGAAACUGAGAGAGACCACCUAACAUGGUCUUCACGAGAACUUUCCUUAGCAAAGUCCUUUUUGUAAUGAAAGCCUCUGAUUUAAUCACACAUACACACCUGCACACACACAAACACACACAUGCACAUACAUACACAUAUACACAUGAGUUUAUUAGUUCUGACCAAGCAGUAAUCUGACUCAGGAAACUCCAGGACAGACAGGUCAGGACAGAGAACCCUGAGCUCUCCUGCCUCUGGGCCUUCCACCUUCAGCGUUGAUGGUUGCUCAGCUAUUUCCCAUUUCUAGGUCUCAGUUCCUUCAUCCAUCAAGUUGACUGCUGAUUUAUCAUGUUCAUAUCUAUUCCAGAAGGAAUUUUAGGUAGGAUUUCAACAUGUUAAAGUUAAAAGUUGGGAUUCUGGCUGAGAUAGAGGCCUGUCAACCUGUAUGUUACACAGACCUCACUCUCCUCUUCCACUUCUGCUACUAGAGGACCUAACAUUUUAAAUUCAGACACUAGAGGACUAAUCUAGUCAGUACAAGCACCCAAAGGAGAAACCCUCAAAAGAAGCCUGCUUCUUGUACUUGCAUCUAACCUCUGGUUCCCCCCACCUACCAUUAGAAAUCUUUCUUUGGUGUGACCCACAACAUGAAGUCCUUUUACAUGACACAGAAACCCAAGAGUGAAAUGACUGUGCUUUAGGAAGCUGGCCCUUCCCCUGUCUGCUGCCACCACUCAUCUCUCAUUUACAGAUGUCUCCUGAGGUCGGUCCUUCCAUUCUUGUCUACUGGUUUUGCAAUAUUUGCCUUCCCUUAGGUUUAAUCAGAGUUGUGAGGACCAUGGCUGGACUCUCUAGCCUGGGCUUUUAUAACUGCUUUAUUGUUGUUUCCAGGAAGGAAGCAGGACCUUUAGCUUUGUCAUUUCUUUAAGAUAAGUAUAUAGAUGCAUCAAGUGACAGUAAGUGCUUUUGAAAGAGGUAGAAGCUGUUUUAUUUUUGUGUGUGUCAUUCUUCUGUAAGAUAAUUGCAGUCACUGGAAGAAGUGUCGUUUGCUUUGCCUGCUCUGUUCAUUUGGACAUUGGAAACUGCAUCUGAGAUCCAUGGAUACUUUUUAAAUUUCAUUUUUCACUUUUAAAUGAAAGUGUACAGAAUCACUAAUCUAAUAGAUAAAUAUAUGAACCCUUUGGGUUAUUUCUACCUGCCUAACUGUAUUCUUGAGCCAGUUUUAGUCUUUCAAACAUGCUAUUGUUUCUCCUCUUUCUAUUGGUCAUUCCAUUUUGUUGUCUUGGCCUAGCUGGAAAUAGCAGAACAAGAUGCCCUUCAUCCCAGUCUGGGUGUUCCCAUUUGCUGGGUGGUCCUUAGCUCCUUAGUUCCUAAGGGUUAACACUGUGGUUCAAUGUCUCCUGUAGAAUUGACAUGGACAAAGCAUCUGCUUGGUUUCUUCAGAUAAUGAGGUUUUGCGGAAAACUGCCCAUAAUGAUAACUGCCGAGUGCUUGCAAGCCCCACUGAUGAAGGCUAAUGAGCACAGAUGGAUGUCUGCAGUCCUCAGGCAGAGAGGCCGGGCAUUGUGAAUUCACUGCCCUGGUAUCAAAACUGGCCUUGGACUUUCUUGGUUUUUUUUUUUCCUCCUCUUUCUCCCUUCUUGUCUUUUUUUUAGUAAAAGGUCAGCCCCAGAAGAAUAUAUUUAUGCAGUAUAAGGCAUUUUAAGAAUGAAGCAAAUUAGAACACAGCUCAGGACAGUGUUGCAGAAAUCAGAAUUGAGUUUCCUGUACUGUAUACAUUAUUUAGUAGAAUUGAUUUUUAAUUUAAUUGACAAGCACUAAAUUAUGUUCUCUCAAAAGCAGAUUUUAAAAAGAGUGUGUUUUAUAAGAAAAUCAAGAAGAGGGAAGACCAAUGGGUGGAUACUUCAUUCUUCCU